CCAGACAGCCAGGAUGUUGGCUUAGAAGCAGCCAUCAUUUAAAGAAAGCGUAAUAGCUCACUGGUCGAGUCGGCCUGCGCGGAAGAUGUAACGGGGCUAAACCAUGCACCGAAGCUGCGGCAGCGACGCUGAUGCGUUGUUGGGUAGGGGAGCGUUCUGUAAGCCUGCGAAGGUGGGCUGUGAGGGUUGCUGGAGGUAUCAGAAGUGCGAAUGCUGACAUAAGUAACGAUAAAGCGGGUGAAAAGCCCGCUCGCCGGAAGAC
rnacentral:rRNA from 1 species